UUGAACGCUGGCGGCAGGCCUAACACAUGCAAGUCGAACGGUAACAGGAAGAAGCUUGCUUCUUUGCUGACGAGUGGCGGACGGGUGAGUAAUGUCUGGGAAACUGCCUGAUGGAGGGGGAUAACUACUGGAAACGGUAGCUAAUACCGCAUAACGUCGCAAGACCAAAGAGGGGGACCUUCGGGCCUCUUGCCAUCGGAUGUGCCCAGAUGGGAUUAGCUAGUAGGUGGGGUAACGGCUCACCUAGGCGACGAUCCCUAGCUGGUCUGAGAGGAUGACCAGCCACACUGGAACUGAGACACGGUCCAGACUCCUACGGGAGGCAGCAGUGGGGAAUAUUGCACAAUGGGCGCAAGCCUGAUGCAGCCAUGCCGCGUGUAUGAAGAAGGCCUUCGGGUUGUAAAGUACUUUCAGCGGGGAGGAAGGGAGUAAAGUUAAUACCUUUGCUCAUUGACGUUACCCGCAGAAGAAGCACCGGCUAACUCCGUGCCAGCAGCCGCGGUAAUACGGAGGGUGCAAGCGUUAAUCGGAAUUACUGGGCGUAAAGCGCACGCAGGCGGUUUGUUAAGUCAGAUGUGAAAUCCCCGGGCUCAACCUGGGAACUGCAUCUGAUACUGGCAAGCUUGAGUCUCGUAGAGGGGGGUAGAAUUCCAGGUGUAGCGGUGAAAUGCGUAGAGAUCUGGAGGAAUACCGGUGGCGAAGGCGGCCCCCUGGACGAAGACUGACGCUCAGGUGCGAAAGCGUGGGGAGCAAACAGGAUUAGAUACCCUGGUAGUCCACGCCGUAAACGAUGUCGACUUGGAGGUUGUGCCCUUGAGGCGUGGCUUCCGGAGCUAACGCGUUAAGUCGACCGCCUGGGGAGUACGGCCGCAAGGUUAAAACUCAAAUGAAUUGACGGGGGCCCGCACAAGCGGUGGAGCAUGUGGUUUAAUUCGAUGCAACGCGAAGAACCUUACCUGGUCUUGACAUCCACGGAAGUUUUCAGAGAUGAGAAUGUGCCUUCGGGAACCGUGAGACAGGUGCUGCAUGGCUGUCGUCAGCUCGUGUUGUGAAAUGUUGGGUUAAGUCCCGCAACGAGCGCAACCCUUAUCCUUUGUUGCCAGCGGUCCGGCCGGGAACUCAAAGGAGACUGCCAGUGAUAAACUGGAGGAAGGUGGGGAUGACGUCAAGUCGUCAUGGCCCUUACGACCAGGGCUACACACGUGCUACAAUGGCGCAUACAAAGAGAAGCGACCUCGCGAGAGCAAGCGGACCUCAUAAAGUGCGUCGUAGUCCGGAUUGGAGUCUGCAACUCGACUCCAUGAAGUCGGAAUCGCUAGUAAUCGUGGAUCAGAAUGCCACGGUGAAUACGUUCCCGGGCCUUGUACACACCGCCCGUCACACCAUGGGAGUGGGUUGCAAAAGAAGUAGGUAGCUUAACCUUCGGGAGGGCGCUUACCACUUUGUGAUUCAUGACUGGGGUG
rnacentral:rRNA from 1 species